CCCGUCCCGGGGCCCGGAGGCGGAGAGGCUGCAAACUCCGCUCCAAUCCGCAGCCGGCCCUUCCGAGGUCCCCCCGCCAGUGACCCGCCCGCGGACAGAGUUGGAGGAACUUUUCAGGCGCUCAGCGCCCCAGUCCAGGGAGGACGAGCGCUCCCCCCGCCCCAGCACCCCCACUCUCUCCACCCCUGCCCCCCAGCCCGGAGGGCAGGGACAGGGCAGCCGGCCCCCGCACAUCGCGUGUCUGCAAACCGGAGCCGCGCCGCCCGGGCUAAGGGCUGCAGCGGGCGCUGCCUGGGAGCCGCUGCCCUCCCGGACCCGCGCUGCCAUGCCCCCGCUGGGUGCCCGGGCCGCUGUGUGAGCGCGGGCGAGGGGACCUGCGCGGGGGCUGAAGAUGAAGGUGCCCGCGCACGGGCUCCCGCUCACCGCCCAGCCCUGCCCAGCCCGCGCCCCGCACGGAGCCCUCGGCCGCGGGGGACCCGCCUGCGCCGCCGCCGCAGCAGCAGCUGCAGCUGGAGCAGCGACAGAGGCGGCGGCGGCUGCGCCCGCGGAGCGAGCGCCCCGAUCGGCGGCGGCGGUGGCGGCGGCGGCAGCUCAGGGACCGCCGCUGCCCCGGCUGCCAUGAGUUGUGCGGAGGUGAUGUAUCACCCCCAGCCGUAUGGAGCGCCCCAGUGUCUGCCCAACCCAGUGGCAGCCGCAACCUGCCCCACAGCCUGCUACCACCCGUCGCCCCAACCUGGCCAGCAGAAAAAGUUAGCGGUAUACAGCAAGAUGCAGGACUCUCUGGAAGUCACCCUUCCCAGCAAACAAGAGGAGGAGGAGGAGGAGGAGGAUGAGGAGGAGGAGGAGGAGAAAGACCAGCCUGCCGAGAUGGAGUACCUUAACUCUCGCUGUGUCCUUUUCACUUAUUUCCAGGGAGACAUUGGGUCAGUAGUGGAUGAACACUUCUCAAGAGCUUUGGGCCAAGCCAGCACCCUCCAUCCAGAAUCUGCCAUUACAAAAAGCAAGAUGGGGCUAACCCCCCUAUGGCGAGACAGCUCAGCUCUCGCAAGUCAGAGGAGUAGCUUCCCAACUUCCUUUUGGACCAGCUCUUACCAGCCCCCUGCACCCUGCUUGGGGGGAGUUCACCCUGACUUCCAGGUCACUGCGCCCCCUGGCACCUUUAGUGCAGCCGACCCCAGUCCCUGGCCAGGACACAGCCUGCACCAGACUGGCCCAGCCCCUCCCCCUCCUGUGUCUGAGUCCUGGCACUACCCUUUGGCAUCUCAGGUGAGCCCGUCCUACAGCCACAUGCAUGAUGUGUACUUGCGGCACCACCACCCCCAUGCUCACAUGCACCACCGGCACCACCAUCACCACCACCACCACCACCACCCUUCUGCUGGCUCCGCCCUGGAUUCGUCCUACCGGCCCCUGCUGAUGCCAUCAGUGCGAGCAGCCAGGAUUUCUGCUCCCCAGUGUGACAUCACAAAGACAGACCCAACCACAGUCAGCACUGCUACCUCAGCGUGGGCUGGAGCCUUCCAUGGAACUGUGGACAUAGUGCCAAGCGUGGGGUUUGAUGCAGAAAAAGGCUAACAUGAUUUUGAAGGAGUCGUAUGUCUUGGCAAAGCAAACUAGGGAUUGCCUUUAUUUAAGGGGGAAAAUAGACACUCAAACCACUUGAUGAUUCCAACACUAUUCAUGACUUGCGGUGCUGACAUUCUAUAGAUUGAUGGCGUCUUCAAGUGUGGAAAUACUGAGUCAUACAGAAGAUGAGACGUUUUAAUAAUGAAAAAAAAUAUUUAGCAGUCAGCAGAUUGUCAGUUAAGGUGGUUUCGAUUAUAAGAGUCACCCAACAGAGACUAGGGUCUACAGCACCAAGACAAGAGCAAGGAAUCACCAUGGUACUGAAAUGCAUGGUAUUAAUAAGUCCAAUUGGAGCUUGAGUCCUCGGGCCCACUGGGAAUAGAUGCUUCUAGGAUUUUCCACUCUGCGAUUGGACACAAUAGACAUGGAGGAGAAGAGGAGUGCCAGCCAGCUGACUUUGCAUUGGAGCCUUUUAUCGAGAAAGCACAGUGGGUCCUAGACAAUGAAGAAAAGCAUUUUUGUUUAUUUUCCCCCUCAUCUGAGCCUUUGCCAACUGUGCAACUCUUUUUUUUUUUCUUUUUUCAGUCUUGCUUUUAUCUCAAUACAUGGUUUAAUUUUUGUUUCAUUUUGAUUUCCUUUUUAGCCAACCACCUUGUCAGGAAAAGAUGAAUCACAAAUGAAUAUGCUCAUUCUUUCAGGAAUAAAAUUUUAUAGCUCUAUGUGUAUCUAUUUUUGUAGAAAUACAGAAAGUUUGAUUUAGCAUUGAUGGGCUAUUUUUGAGGGAUGUAUUUUUUUUAAUAUUGUAAAAAAUCAUUAAGUUCUGUUUAAAGAACUUGCUCUUAGAGAAGCACUGGCAAAAAAAAAAUGUUUAAAAUGCUUGUCUUUUAAGAUGUCUGUGAUAUGCUCUGUGCUUUCUAGGUUACCUCAAGUGUUUGAUAGUUUACCCCUUUUUACAGAAGUAGCACCAUAGCCAAGCCAAUAUAGUGUUGCAUUACAUUAAAUCUCAGUGAAGAUUGAAUUCCGUGCUACCUUACUUUGCUUUGAGUAAUAUGUAUAGCUUGAAAAGGAAGUUUUUUAAUGAACACACUAGAGAAAGAAUAUUUGAUUACUUUGAUUUCUCCCAAUGAGUACUUGUAGGUUGAUUUAAAAAGUUUUGCAUAAACCUGCAAUCAAAUGAAGAAUUUGCAUAGAAUAUGUAAUUCUCUUUGUAGUCCAUCUGAGUUUGAUAAGUGGAAUCUGAGGUGAUAUCCAACUACUGGAAACAAAUUGCAUUUAACCGUGCUACCUUUGAGUGCCAGUUACUUAUUUUUCUCAUUCAUGGCAAUUUUUAAGGUCAUAUUUUAAGUGGAGUUCUUUUCCUUGACAUAGUUUGAAGAGAUACUCUUUGGGAAAUUACAAGACAUAUUACAAAGCCUUUAAUUCCAUGACUCUUUCUGAUCAUGUUACCUAUCAUUGUGAAUUGAAAACUAAUAUAGUGCAUGUGCAAUAUUUUAAACAUAGGAUUUUGCGAGUUUUUUGUUUUUAAUCUGAGUUUAGGUGAUUUAAUUCUUUAUAAGAAAGACACUUAGAGAAAAAUGAAAUUUUAGUUUGAAUUUAUACCACAAUUACUGAAAUUGGAUUAAGAAUUUGACAAUUUGUUAUUUAAAAUUUAUUUUUGGAAACCCCAAUUCAAGUUGACUGACCAUCAUAAUGUAAAUAAGGUAAAGCUGGAAUUAUUAAGAGCCUUUUAGAAAAAUAUUAUGAAAGUAGCAGUUAAUGAUAGUUAAAGGACUUUUAAUGCAAAGUCCAUUCUUUUUUCUGGGUCUUUUCAGAAAUGGGUCAUGUUAAAAAGUUAAUGUUAUAGAGAAGUUUUUUUGUUUGGUAAAACAAUUUCUCAAAUUUUUUCCAUCCCUCUCUUCACCCAUAUGGAAUACAAUGUUUAGUGAAAGACCAUUUUUCAUCAUAAAUUGUGUAUAUUAUGUAUGUGAACAUUUUAGAUAUAAGAAUAAGAAACCUCUACUUAGCUAGGCAGAGUUCUCACAGGUAAUUCUCAAAUAUGUUCCUUACCUGUAUUUCAUGUAUUAAUUUUCUUGUCUGGAGCAUCUCAUGAGGAAUAGGCUGUCUUGUGGUAUUCUUAUCACUCCAUACAUUGCUUCUUCUUAGCCAGACUCUCCUUAGCACAGUAUGCACAUUGUUACCUAAUUUGAGGCCCAAACUUAAGGUAUCUGCCACUUACUAAUGACAUGAACUUAUAUUUUUAGGGCCUGGCUCAGGUAAAUGAUCUACAUUUUGAUUUAUAAUUUGAUGUAUUACAGUAAGUAAUUUUGCCAAAGUCUGUGGAGCACAGAAUUGAAUGUAUCGAUAAAAUUGGUUUCAUUUGUAUCCUCCUGAGUUUUCAAAGACAAGUAUUUGGUAUUCCCAUGGGAAGACUCACUGGGGAUUAUUUAUUUUUCUCUUCUUCCCUUGGACCUAUUAACUUCCUUUUCAGUGUCUCUGAGAAUGGUAUAGUGCAUCAAGCCAUUUAAAUCGUUCAAUUGGAUUUUUCCAGUUAAGAGAAGAAAAGUGUUAACCCUCUGCUCUUUUCCUUAUUCUCCGCUGAAUUGAAUUGAAGGAGAGAGAGCAAUUAGAUAGCUUCACUCUAAAUUGAGACUGUGUUCUGUGUCACUCCUGGCAACUAUAGGAUAAAAUAUUUCUUGGUUCUGGGGGCCUAAGAAAAGUUAGGGACCUAAAUUCUGCUGUAUACAGGAAAGAUUUGUAAGUGAGAAAGGGCUUAGGUGUUGUUGGAACAGCAAGUGUUAGAUUUUUGCAUAUGCAAGGAGUGGACCCAGUCUACGUGAAAAGAGAAUGAGUGCAUGUCUAUAAUUGUCUGGCACCCCUUACUAUGAUGACAUUAUCAUUACCAGCAGAGGUUAUAAAAAGGGAUCAGUUGUAAUUUAGCACAGUGUUCUGAAUUUAUUUUAGGUUUAAAAUGCUAGCACACUCUGGGUCUGGUUUGCUAACAUCAAAAUGAUUUGGUUGAACUUCCAAACUGCUUUACUGAGGGCUGCCCCCUCCCUCCUCAACUUCACAUGGAACCACUCUAUCUUUGACUAUUUUACAAAUUAUUCAAGUUUUCUAAAGAUCUGUGAGCUAGCCCCUAGAAAAUGACCUGAUUUAGUUGGCAUCUAAUCUAUGCUUCCACCUAAACUAUCAUGAGCUAAGAAACAACCUAAUAGUGACAAGUCGAUCCUAACUGGUUAUUGGCCCCUCAUUGUUUAUUUGAAAAGAGUACUAAACUUCAAAAAAAACAACAACAGUGUUUCUUCUUAAGAAGGUUAACCAUCCACUCCUAUUUUCUCUUAUUUCUCUUUCCUCUUAAAAUUACCUUACAAUAUUAUUUUAAGCAAAAGUGGCCGCUAUUAUUUUGAAUUUUGCGAAUGAGAACUAGUGGAUGACAAAUUAGGAGUUGAAGAAUUAAUUUCUUUAACUUCAUAAGAAACUUUAAAAACAACACAUUCCAGGUACUAGCUUAAAAUGUGUUGUUAAGAAAUUCAUUAUUCAUUAUGCACAUAGUAUUUGCCCAUUCCUACUCUAAGUGAGACCUAUAGAAUACAUGACAGAACCCAUCUCACUUUUACAUUUACUCUCUGGUUUAAUAUUACAUUUGUAAUUUAAAGGGGCAAUCAGAAACUGUAUUUCAAGGAACUGCAUUAUAUUUCUUACUGAGCAUCCCUUUGUUAGAUAAUAUAUGCUGAAUUAAGUCAAUGGGACAGUGGCAUUAACUGGUAGAAAAGGAAAGAAUCUAUGUUAGAGUUCUAAUGAGGAUAUUAAUUGAAAAGUAGAACGAAUUAAUGGAAAAGAGCAUUGUGUUGGGCAUUAAGUUAUUCUCUGACUUCUGGCUUAGCCACAAUUAUAUAGAUGUGAUUUGGGGAUUUAUUUAUUUAUCUCAUGAAUAAAUGGGAUAAUAAUACCUACUGGCAGGCUGUGAAGGGUGAAAAUCAUACAUAUGUAUAUAAAAUCCAUCAUCAGGUCAUAGUAAUGUUUAAUAAAUAACAGCUACCAUACAUGUCUAUCAGUUGAGUGAGUAGGUCAUAAAACUGAGUUCCCAAAUGUCCUCUCUCUUUACUUCCUAUAGCCAUCUCUGUAGCAGUAGAUAUAUCAUCAUGCUUUUCCAUAACAAAUUAAUGCAAAAGAAUCUUUGCCUUCUACUAGGUGUUGAAGAUAAAAUGUAAAAUUCUUAGUUAUCCCUAUUAUUGGAGUGUACCAUUUAUGAAGGAAAAUAACCUCUCAAUGGUAUCUCUGUUCAACUCUGAGUUUUCUUAUAUAUUCCAAAAUUGGAUUCAUCCAGGACCCUGUGUAUUUUCUUCUCCAAAAUUAAGGCAACAGGUUUAUUAAAUCACCAACGUUAAUAUUUUUCAGUUAUAUUUGGGGCUUCCUUAGUACCUGGAAUAAAAACAUCUUUUUUGACAUUAUUCAUUUUUUUUCCCUUCUUGCCAUGGAGGAAAAACUGCAAGAUAUGGUGGAAAAAAAUGGUCUGCAUGUAAAAGGGAGAAAAAAAUAAAAUGCAGAACACUUUAAGAUCUCAGUCAGCAGAUUUACUCUGCUUGAGAAAAAAAGAAACAACUUUAUUGGAAGCAGCUGUUGACACUGUGUCGGUUAUUGAAGAUGGAAAGAGUUCAGUUGAACCAUCGCAGUUACAAAGGGGUAUUGAUGGCAGUUAGAAUUCCUGUGAUUGAUCACCUUCACCACAGACAGAAGGACAGCAGAAAGCAGAAACUUUGAGACUGAGACUGAAAUCAGCCUGCCAAUUUUAAUAGGCAGCGCCCAAGGAUGCAGUUUUGUUUUGUUUUAUUCUUUUAUCUAGAAUAAAAAACACAUCCUUGAGAAAAUGUAAGCCUUGUUUGAGAGAGAAAUAAAAAUGUAUUUCCUAAAAUCAUGGCCCAAGAACCCUUUAAAUCUAGUAUUAAUGCAUUAAAACUAUUAUUAAAGUUGUUUUAGAAAAGUUAGGUUAAAGUUUUUGUUCAAUGAUGUAUAUUGUAGGUGAAUCUCAAAAUGAUACAAAGGUGGAUGACUCUGAGAUUAGGGUACCUGUGGGCCUGCAAGGAGAGAGACCUCAGUCUCAAUAGCCACAACACGUCAUCUUAGUAAUGUGGUCACAGAACAGACUUUCAGAAUUUUCCUGUAGGCUUUCCUUUCUUUUAGUGCUCUCUGGGAAUAUCUCCAUGUACACUUUUCCAAAGUAUAGAAAUAGUCAUUAUUAUUCAACUAUCAUACUUUUCUUAUUUC